AGGGUCCGGCACCAGCAGCCAAUCGGAGCCCACGCUGCCGGGCUAUAAAAGGUGGCUGCGCAGGCGUUUCCGCCUCUCUCGGUUAUGGCGGCGAGUCGGGGCGGCUGUGUGAGGACCAUCGGGGACCAUCCACCGCCAUCCUUCUUCGCUGGGGCACUCCCGCCGCUCGGCUCCGCCGCAUCGGCGCCCCGUGGGCAUCGCACCCGGCCGCGGCGCUUCAGUGCGCUCCGAAGGCUGCGAAGGGCAGCGCGGCCUUGCCCUCGCCCUCCUGAGGUCGGGCCCGGCCCUGGCAGCAUCCUGACAUAGAAGGUGAUCCUGGGCCAUGGGAUGGCUGGUGACGGCCUCAGCUUCAGGCAGGGGUCCUGGGUGUUCCAGAGCUCACCCAUCUGAUGGAUAAAUCCAGCAGUUACUCUGGAAAAGGGUGAGAACCUGUGAGCCCUGUCCCAAGGGCUUCAGCUUGCUUCCCAUAGGACCUGAGUUGUGGGGAAGCUGCAGUGUGGAGCAUGUCUAAGCAGAGGGUGAGCCAUCCCUGAGGGACUUGGUGCUGCAGUGCCAGCCUGUUCUUUCCUAGCCUUCUCCUCCAGAAGUGGGAGCUCUGCAGAGCCAGAUCCUGCCUCCUUCCAGAGCUAUGAGCUUCACCAAAUGGGAUCAGCCAUUCUGGGCUCCACAAACCUGCAGUGGAGGGAUAUUAAACUGGUUUGCCUCCAGGUGUUGCUCAAGCUCCCAUUCAGGUGCUCCACGUGGAAGAAGUCUGUUCCGUAAGAGUUUUCUCAGGAGGGGUCUGGCUAUCAAAUACUUGGUUAGAGCAGGAAACCAGUAAUCCCAAGGUGUAGUGAGUUUGAUCUCUGUACAGGCCAUUCACUUAAGAGCUGGACUCAGUGAUCCCUGUGAGUCCCUUCCGACUUGAAAUAUUCUCUGUGUGUGAUAAAAGUUUGAAUAAAUGCAAUUCAAGUGCU